rnacentral:piRNA from 1 species
UUCCACUCUACAGGUUUUGGAGCAAAGGA